AAGUUGACGGGGGCCCGCACAAGCGGAGGAGCAUGUGGUUUAAUUCGAUGAUACGCGAGGAACCUUACCUGGGCUCGAACGUAAGAUGACUGUAGGUGAAAGCUUACAUCUCUUCGGAGCAUUUUACGAGGUGCUGCAUGGUUGUCGUCAGCUCGUGCCGUGAGGUGUUGGGUUAAGUCCCGCAACGAGCGCAACCCUUGCCUUUAGUUGCCAGCAGUUCGGCUGGGCACUCUAAAGGGACUGCCGGUGUUAAACCGGAGGAAGGUGGGGAUGACGUCAAGUCCUCAUGGCCUUUAUGACCAGGGCUACACACGUACUACAAUGGCCGAUACAAAGGGCAGCGACACUGCGAGGUGAAGCCAAUCCCGUAAAAUCGGUCUCAGUCCGGAUUGGAGUCUGCAACUCGACUCCAUGAAGUUGGAAUCGCUAGUAAUCGUGGAUCAGCAUGCCACGGUGAAUACGUUCCCGGGCCUU
rnacentral:rRNA from 1 species